rnacentral:rRNA from 1 species
GACGAACUUUGGCGGCGUGCUUAACACAUGCAAGUCGAACGGAAAGGCCCUGCUUUUGUGGGGUGCUCGAGUGGCGAACGGGUGAGUAACACGUGAGUAACCUGCCCUUGACUUUGGGAUAACUUCAGGAAACUGGGGCUAAUACCGGAUAGGAGCUCCUGCUGCAUGGUGGGGGUUGGAAAGUUUCGGCGGUUGGGGAUGGACUCGCGGCUUAUCAGCUUGUUGGUGGGGUAGUGGCUUACCAAGGCUUUGACGGGUAGCCGGCCUGAGAGGGUGACCGGCCACAUUGGGACUGAGAUACGGCCCAGACUCCUACGGGAGGCAGCAGUGGGGAAUAUUGCACAAUGGGCGGAAGCCUGAUGCAGCAACGCCGCGUGCGGGAUGACGGCCUUCGGGUUGUAAACCGCUUUCGCCUGUGACGAAGCGUGAGUGACGGUAAUGGGUAAAGAAGCACCGGCUAACUACGUGCCAGCAGCCGCGGUGAUACGUAGGGUGCGAGCGUUGUCCGGAUUUAUUGGGCGUAAAGGGCUCGUAGGUGGUUGAUCGCGUCGGAAGUGUAAUCUUGGGGCUUAACCCUGAGCGUGCUUUCGAUACGGGUUGACUUGAGGAAGGUAGGGGAGAAUGGAAUUCCUGGUGGAGCGGUGGAAUGCGCAGAUAUCAGGAGGAACACCAGUGGCGAAGGCGGUUCUCUGGGCCUUUCCUGACGCUGAGGAGCGAAAGCGUGGGGAGCGAACAGGCUUAGAUACCCUGGUAGUCCACGCUGUAAACGGUGGGUACUAGGUGUGGGGUCCAUUCCACGGGUUCCGUGCCGUAGCUAACGCUUUAAGUACCCCGCCUGGGGAGUACGGCCGCAAGGCUAAAACUCAAAGGAAUUGACGGGGCCCCGCACAAGCGGCGGAGCAUGCGGAUUAAUUCGAUGCAACGCGUAGAACCUUACCUGGGUUUGACAUGGAUCGGGAGUGCUCAGAGAUGGGUGUGCCUCUUUUGGGGUCGGUUCACAGGUGGUGCAUGCCUGUCGUCAGCUCGUGUCGUGAGAUGUUGGGUUAAGUCCCGCAACGAGCGCAACCCUUGUUCACUGUUGCCAGCACGUUAUGGUGGGGACUCAGUGGAGACCGCCGGGGUCAACUCGGAGGAAGGUGGGGAUGACGUCAAGUCAUCAUGCCCCUUAUGUCCAGGGCUUCACGCAUGCUACAAUGGCUGGUACAGAGAGUGGCGAGCCUGUGAGGGUGAGCGAAUCUCGGAAAGCCGGUCUCAGUUCGGAUUGGGGUCUGCAACUCGACCUCAUGAAGUCGGAGUCGCUAGUAAUCGCAGAUCAGCAACGCUGCGGUGAAUACGUUCCCGGGGGCU